AUGGCCGGGAAGAAGAGCGCCGCGGUGAGCUCCGUGCCUUCCGAGGGUGAGGAGAGUGCCGUCGUCCCCGGCUCCACUGCCAAGCGCGGGCCCGGCAGACCUAAGAUGGACCCCGUCCCCGCCGGUGCCAGCCCCGGCUCCACUGCCAAGCGCGGGCCUGGGAGGCCUAAGAAGGAUCCCGUCCCCGCCGCCGCCGGCGCCAGCCCCGGCUCCACUGCCAAGCGCGGGGCCGGGAGGCCUAAGAAGGUCGCCGCCCCCGCCGAGUCCGGCAAGGGCUCUGCUCCGGAGCCCGGGAAGAGCGAGAUGGGGGAGAAGGGGGCGACCCCGAAGAAGCAGGGGAAGGGGGAGAAAGAGAAGGCGAAGGCGGCGACCCCGAAAAAGAAGGAGAAGGGGGACAAGGCGGCGGCGCCGGAGAAGAAGGAGAAGGGGGACAAGGCGGCGGCGCCGGAGAAGAAGGAGAAGGGGGACAAGGCGGCGGCGCCGGAGAAGAAGGAGAAGGGGGACAAGGCGGCGCCCCCGAAGAAGAAGGGGAAGGGGGAGAAGGCGGCGGCGCCAGAGAAGAAAGAGAAGGGGGAGAAGGUUGCUACCAAGAAGAAGGAGAAGGGGGAGAAGGGAGGGAAGGAGAAGAUGGGGGACACGGCGGCGACCCCAAAGAAGAAGGAGAAGAAGGGCGGCGAGGCGGCGGAGCCCGGAUCCGGAUCCGGGAAGCAGGAGCCGUCCGGCGAAGCGGGGAAGCCCAAGCCCAAGCCCACGCCCAAGAAGGCGAAGCAGCAGGCCUCAGACGGGGCGGCCAAGGAGACGCCCAGCAAGAGGAAGCGCGACGACGCCGGGGAACCCCAACCCCAGAAGUCGGCCAAGAGCGCCAAAAAAGUGGACGAGGCCACGCCCACCAAGAAGAAGCAAGCCUCCUCCGGCGGUGCUGAGAAGGCCACCACACCCAGCAAGACACCCCAGAAGAAGGAGGCAAAGAGCGCCAAGAAAAGCCCCGGCAAGGCGGAGAAGGCCACGCCGACCAAGAAGCAGCAGGCCUCCGGCGGGCCGGAGAAGGCCACACCGAGCAAGAGGAAGCAUGGCGAUCUGGAAUCCCCAAAGGCGGCGAAGAGCGGGCAGAAUGGCUCUUCGCCUGCGAAGAAACAGAAGGGCAAGGCAGCAGGGGCGGCGCCGGUGGCUGCCGAGCCGGGCACCUGCAGCUUCCCGAUGGCGCGGGUGCGGCUGCUGAUGCGGGACAAGGACGCCACCAUCCGAUCUAACAAUGAGACCGUCUUCCUCGUCAACAAGGCCUCGGAGUUAUUCUUGGAGGUAUUUGCGAAGGAUGCUCAUCAGAAUGCCCUGAAGGAACGUAAAAAGUCAAUUACCUACGAGAACCUUUCGACGGCGGUGUGCAAGGAGAAACGGUACAAGUUCCUAUCAGAUUUCGUGCCACUGAGGGUGACGGCCGGGGAUGCACUCAAGGCUGUGGUGAAGGAGCCGUAG
rnacentral:rRNA from 1 species